UACGGGGGGAGCAAGCGUUUGUUCGGAUUUACUGGGCGUAAAGGGCGCGUAGGCGGCCAGCACAAGUCAGUUGUGAAAUCUCCGAGCUUAACUCGGAAAGGUCAACUGAUACUGUGCGGCUAGAGUGCGGAAGGGGCAACUGGAAUUCUUGGUGUAGCGGUGAAAUGCGCAGAUAUCAGGAGGAACACCGGUGGCGAAGGCGGAUCUCUGGGCCAUUACUGACGCUGAGGAGCGAAAAGCGUGGGGGAGCGAACAGG
rnacentral:rRNA from 1 species